rnacentral:lncRNA from 10 species
CCCGCCUCGGCCUCCAAAAGUGCUGGGAUUACAGGUGUGAGCCACAGCACCCGGCCCCCCACCCCCCGCCCCAUAGUUUUUUGUUGUUUUUUUUUUUUUGAGACGGAGUCUAGCUCUGUUGCCCAGGCUAGAGUGCAGUAGUGCCAUCUCGGCUCACUGCAAGCUCCGCCUCCCGGGUUCACGCCAUUCUCCUGCCUCAGCCUCCCGAGUAGCUGGGACUACAGGAGCCCGCCACCACACCCAGCUAAUUUUUUUGUAUUUUUGGUAGAGACGGGGUUUCACUGUGUUAGCCGGGCUGGUCUCGAUCUCCUGACCUCGUGAUCCGCCCGCCUCGGCCUCCCAAAGUGCUGGGAUUACAGGUGUGGGCCAUCGCGCCCGGCCACUCCCAUAGUUUUUAAUUGAUAACACACUUUGAUUUUCUAAAUAAGCAGUCAUGACAUCUACACAUGAGUUUUUCUCUUUGCUAAAAUGUAAGCCUCUUAAUUUUUAUCCUUUUCCUGUUGCAUUGGUUAGGAUUGCCAGGAAUAUUGUAAUAACAGCACUUGUUCCUUUUUAUUUUGCAGUGAGAGGUUAGAAGCAUUUCUAUUAAAUGUUAUGUAGUUCACAUCAAAAUUAAGAUAUUGCCUCUCCUAUUUUUUUUUUUAUGUUAGGCUUCCUCAAUCGGGUUCUACUUUCUUAUUUAAUGUAGGAAAGUCUAAGUUACUUUAAAAUUUUCAAAUUAUUUAAACCUAUUUGUGUUCCUUUAAAUCCGACUGUACAUAAUGUAUUAAAU